AUCUAUCUAUCUAUCUAUCUAUCUAUCUAUCUAUCUAUCUAUCUAUCUAUCUUCUUCAUCUUAUUUUUCAUCUUUCUCAGAGAUCUUAUGGAUCCGGUAAUUAUUGUUUCUGGUAACUGGAUUAAGAAAAACAUAUAUGUAUUCAACACCGACAGUAGAUGGUGUAGAGUUCUGCAUUUAGAUGAGAAAACAAAACGUGAAGAAUUCGAAAAGUAUGUACUCGAUGAUUACGGACUGAAUGAAUUGAGGCAUCAGAACACAAUUGCGCACGACAUUCCACCAGUUUACAGAGAACAAGGACCCAUAAAUGAAUCGGAAUGACAGAGCAAGAGAGAGACGAGUAAAACGUUUUUUAGUUUUAGCUCAAAAGCAGAAGUUUCAGAUGUUGAAUCCAGAGACAAAAACUACAGUGGGAGUUACGAUGAACAGAGCACUAUCGUAUGUUUUUAUAUUACGGCUGGGUUAUGGAUUUUAAUGUUUUCGUAUUACGGCUGAGUUAUAUUUUUUAUGUUUCUAUGACACGGCUGAUUUUUGUGGUUUAACUUUUUGUGUUACGGCUGAGUGGAUGAGUUAUGGAUUAAUUUCCCGCUCAAAAAACAAAACGUCGCAAAGCGAAACGUCGCGAUAAUAUAACCGUUCUCUGCCUAUAAAUAAUGUGUCUACUCAAACAGUACAAAUUUAAACUCUCUAUUUUACACAAUUACUCUCUAUCUCUAUUUUACACAAUUACUCUCCGUCACCCCUCUCAAAGAAAAUGAAAUAUUUCCCGAUUCUUGAAAUGCCUGAAGAAAUUCAGGCAUUGGUGGUUGAACGUGUGGCCGGUAACUCCUUCCAAGAUCUCUAUGGCCUUAGAGCAUCAUGUAAGUUGAUGAAGGCGUUGGCAGAUCGGCGUAGGGUAUGUGUUGCAGGCUGGGAAGCUGGGUCGAUGAGAUGGUUGGGCGAUGGGGCGAUCUUAUUGGUAAGGAGGAAGACCGGAUGGAAAGAUGGUGAAGAUGGCCGACUUGCUGUUCCUUUUAAUCCAAUCUAACCUGGAAACAAUGAAGAACAAUUAGUUUAUGAAUAAUUAAGAUAAGAACAGGAGCUAAACAGAUAAAGGGAUGGAAUGGUUGACGAAUCAAUAGAACACACGAAUCACUCAAGUAUCCUAAAGACAGAUUUCUAUUCAAACACUCUCUUUGAUAAAAUAAACAAACUGAAUUUUAUUUCUUAAGGAUUGAAAGGUGGUUUCUUACAAGGGUCGACCAAGAGCUUAUAUAUGCUCUGGAGACAAUGAUUACAAAGCUAAAAAUCAGAAAGAAAUCAAAGGAAAAUAAAAACUAGCCGUUGGAAUAGGAUAAAUGGAUUUUUGGCUUAAAAUGGGGAACUUGAUGAUUUCCUUGAAUCUGGAAAGUUUUGGCAAGAAGGCAUGGUGUCUUGGGACGUCUAGGUUCCUUGAAGUAGCUUCAGGAAGCUCUGGUCGUAGAAAAAUAGUCGUUGGUUAUUUAUUCUCCAAGUUGUGAGUGAUUUCGAAAAAAGAAAGUUGGUGUAAAUGAAGAUCCUCUUAAUCCUAUGCUUGUUGGUGUAGGGAAAUAUGAUGGGAGGCUCUUCUGGACGGUUGGAUGUGUAUUCUGGAAGCCUUGGAUCAUGUAGAAUACGUCCUGGUUGCUUUACCUCUGUUUGGAAACAAUUGGACCAGUUGAUUGUCCAAUCUUUCCAUAAGUUGCUCGGUUUGACCGGUUCUGGAAAAAUGAUUGUAUCUUGAGAUUUCCGUGGUAUUUUCUCCUCUUCUUGGUCUUGUUGGCUUGAUAAGACAUCCAUCUUGAAGUUCAUGCUUUGGUUUUGGUCGGAAUGCUUCUUUGUUGGGUUUGAAGCAACUUCUAAACUCGGAUGCUCGCAGAUAGACGAGAUGGACAACCUCCGGUUUGUAAAAUUCGUAUCUUCCUGGUCCGAGUAGUUUUCGAGAUUCUUCCAAUUGGGGUUGACUCCUAGUUGAGUUUAGAAUACAUGAAAAUUGGUUUCAUUGCAAAAUUCCUCCUUGUUGCGGAGAUACGCCGAUUUGACUGAACACAUAUCCUGGUUGGUCCUUCGGUUGGUUGAAUGGUACAUCCGGUUGGCCCCUGGUUCAGGUGUGGUUUCUGUGCCUAUAUCAGUAUGCCCAUUUUAUGAUGUGUUAUCCGUUCCCUGGGGACUCAAUAUGCCUGCUGAGUUGUUGAAAACUUGCUACGCUGAGAGAAAUCCAAGCACACUUUAUAUAAAGGGUGUUCAGUUUGUCUUCACAUUAAACCUUGAAGAAGUUGCUCUCAUGAAGCUUGCAGCGAAUGCAGGAUAUGAGCGUUCUGUGUAUACACACGCAAUGACUCGGAAAAUCUUUUGGGAUGAUGAUGAGGGGUAUUUUGCUCGUUUUCCAAGGGAAUCCGUUAUCAGGAUCGGUAAAUUAGUGUGAUCUAUGAAAUGGGGAUGGAGUUUGUGGCACGGUGAUGCGUUCCGCACAAAGAGGGCCGAGUGCAUUUCAGCGGUUCCGUCGUUCUGCAGUUGCAAAUGUGCUCCUCUUUGAAGCGAUAAUGUCUCUGCUUGUGGCACAUUGAUACCACUAAGGAUGACAACAUGUGUGACCGCUGUUUCUGGAUCAAAGAGGUAGGGCUGUUCUUCCGUGACUUUGAACCAAUUAGUUUGAUUAGGGAUACAAGGAAGUGGUGAAGAUGCAUUGUAUCAGAAACCUAUAUUUUUUUGUUCUUUGCUAUGCCAUUAUGUAUGUAGAACAACAUAUUAAUGUAUGGGUUUAUGUUAAUGGUUACGGCUGAGUUUUCGUUUAACUACGACUGAGUUAUCAUUUAAUUAUGUCUGAGUUAUCGUUAAUUUAUAUUGCUGAGUUAUCGUUUAAUUAUGUCUGAGUUAUCGUUAAUUUACGGUUAAAUUAUCGUUUAAUUAAGUCUGAGAUAUCUUUAUGUCCGUUAAUGUUUUCGCCCCUCUGUAACCUUUGUCGUCAACAGUUCACGUUUCUCCGUUAAAACAAAACACUCCGUUUCAUUUAAAGAGAAAACAUCGACAUGUUAGCUCACAUAAGUUAAAUUCGCAAGGCUCAUUCCAAAAACCCCCAAAUUUGAAAAUUAGGGUUCUUCAGAAGAGAGGAUUAACUGUAAGUCUCUUUCGUCAAAUCCGAGAUCAUAUAUUGGUUUUUUACUUGAUUUUAUAAAAUCGCUUUGAGCAUUUUGUGUGUUUCGCCUUGGCAUAGUUUCAAUCAUUUUUGUGUGUUGUUGUUGCGGCCAGCAAUUCAGCAGCUGAACCAGAGGUCGACCCAACACCUACUCAACCAGCCAAGGCGCCAACCAGGACAUACAUGCACUAAAAAUACCAUAUCUUACAAACCAGGAGGGUUUAAAUCACGAGCAUAAUAUUUAUGGAUUCUACACUCAAGAAGGAGUCCAGGCCAAUUGGAAUCUGCCCAAAAUAUUCACGGAGGAAGAAGUUAUGAAUUUUACAAUUCAGAGGUUUCUCAGCCCGUCCAUCUGCGAGUAUGCGACUUUAGAAGAGAAUUCAAGCCCAAAGAAGAAGCGGCCUGAACCAAAACCGAUCGUAGGAGUCAAGAGGAGUUUAUUAUCUUUCCAGAAAGCCCAAGAUCUCGAGAAAUUGUCAAGGAAAUGGGAAGAUAUGAUCAAUUUCUCAAAACCGGCCAAACCAGCUCUAUACUUGCCUUAUUUGGAAGAUCCGGGUUUCACAUCGAACCAACCUCAAGAAUGGCAACCAGGAGACCUUCUAAGUCAUUCAGAGACACGCUACAACAUCAUAGGAAGCACCAUGCCACACUGGAUAAGGCGGAUCCCAAUCAAACCAAGAGAUCAAGCCGGUUUGCAUCAAUUGGCCAAACCGACAUCAUUUAAGGAAAGUCUUCAACCAAUUCAACUUGGUUCGACCCAGGGCUAUCUAUGGGAACCAGGAGAUACUCUAGACCAGUCAGAAGACAUCCAAGACGUCCUCAGCUGGACCAGCACCCAGGAGAUCAGGCGGAUCUCUCUUCCCAUCAACCUUCCAUAUUUGGCAACAUCUACACUAAAUGCUUUGGAGAAGUUUCUACAGAUUUUUGCCCAAGACCAACGGCCAUAUUCUCUUUUACUGAGGCCAAGGAGUAUUUCAGGAAGGCUUGAAGAUCAUGGCCACGUCCAGAAGCUAUCAAGAUACAAGUCUUCACAAGUUUCUCUUUUGGAAGGAAGCAAAUCAAGCCUAACGGCUAUAUUCCAUGGAGUCAUCAAAGCCUUUGCUCCCAAGACUUUAAGUUCAAGUUAUUUUGUUUCUUUUUAUCAUUUUAUGACUGUUAGAGUCUGUCCUUGUCGAGCCUAUAAAGCUCUAGUCUUUGCUUCAUUGUAAAUCACCCAUUUUUGAAAGUAAUAAGAAUUAUUCAGUUUUCUAGUUUUCUUAAAACUAUUGUUCUAAGUCUUUUGAGUUUGUGUGAAGCAGCUCCAAAGCACCUUGACUUAUCAAGGCUCCUUUCCAUAGAGUCUUGUGGCGUCCUCAAUCCCCCAUCCUUCCAUUCCAAUUCGUUUGCCAAGCGUGAGAGAGACAUCAGUCCAGCAAGCAAAGCACCACCUCAAUCCACUUCAAUCAUCAACUGAUUAGGCUGAGAGUGUCUGAAGACCAGCAGCCUAAUUCCAUCCUAUCUAUCUUUAUUUAUCUUGUUUUAUCAUAUUAGAAAUCAUAUCUCAUUUGUUUUUGCAUUUGUUUUUAGGUUCAUAACUUGCAUUCCAUCAUAUCGCCCAUCCGAUCAUCUCUUUAGUCGACCCAUCCAAGCUUCCAUCAUCCAUCUUGCCCACCCUGAAUCCCAGUCUGCAACAGUUGUGAAGUAGAAUUCGAUGGAUAUAGGGCGUGGAAUUCCAAGGAGGUGCGACUGUGUAUCUUCAACUGUUGUGUUAACGUCAAAUACCGUAAGGAAUCCGAGAAGAAGGUUUUAUCGUUGUGGAGCAAUUUUGGGUGAAAACCAUGUUUUCAAAUUGCUUGAUGAAGCACAUAAUGAAGAGUUUGUAGUUGUGGCAAACAAACUGGCGACGAUGGAGCAAGAUUUGCCCACAUAAAAGCAGACUUAGUUGAUAUGAAGAACGACAUAAGUGAGAUCGCAGUACUUAUCGAUUGUCUUAGGGUGGAGUGUUAGAUGUAUUAGUUGUUGUUGGGAGAAAUAAAAAUGUAGUCUUUUAAUCACCAUUUAAUUAUGUCGGAGUUAUCGUUUGAUUAUGUCUGAGUUAUCAUUAAUUUACGGCUGAGUUAUCGUUUAAUUAUGUCUGAGUUAUCGUUAAUGCAAAGUCUUAUCAAACUUUGUAAAAACUAAAGUAUUAUCGUCUCGAUGUUAUAAAGGCCUCGAUAUUAGUUCUGAGCCGUAUUUUCCACACUUUUGAAGCGCCAUAAUUAAUUAUCAUCACGGUCAAAUCAAGAAAGACGAAACGUCCCAUUAUUGUAAGGGACGUUUAAUAUUAUAGAAAAGUAUUACUAUGAAUGUUAAAUCAGUUUUUAAAUAAUAAAGUAUUAUAAAGGCCUCGAUAUUAGUUCUAAGCCGUGUUUUCCACACUUUUGCCGUAUUUUUCACACUCAGCCGUCCCAUUAAUAUUAACGGCUAAGUUAUAUUCUGAGUUAUAUCCAUCAAAAUGAUGUCAGUGACUGCCGUAGUAAGAAACCAUAUCAACAACCUGUGAUGUAUCUUUGGCACAAGAUCUACAAACUGCAGUAGCCUCAUAAUAAACCCCACUAUUCUGACUUCUCCUGUCAACUGAUGUUGUAAGAAACAUCUGCCCAUUUACUAUGGUGUUUGUGUAAGACCUUGCAGAACAACGUGGACCAUAAGCUAUCAACUUAAGUGUUUUUGUAUGCUCUGUAGAAUCAAGAGGCACCUGACAAGGUAAGAACAAGUCAAAGACAUGUAUACAGUAAUAAGAGAAAUUAUGAAAACAAAAAUUAACGUGUUUUUUUACCAAGAUGCGAAAUUCUUAGUGUGCAUACUCCAUAAAGUUAAUGCAUCUCGGCGACAUUUGUCAUAUGAGUCUUGUAAAUGCUGUAGAUGCUCACUUGUGAAAGAUUGAAAUCAAAAGAAAUGAAUCAAUUGGUUGAUCAUACAUAUAAAUGAGUGCGAAAUGGAAGAUAAAUAAAGUGUUGUACUUACUCUACGUAUGGUUUGACGAGAGCCAUGUUCUAAAUGAUAGCAAGAUGUGCUACUUUCUUUUCCAUUUCAGUGAGUGUAAUUGAAGUGCCGGUGGAUAUUGGAAGACCCUCUAAGAUGGAAUUGUUCUCAUACUCUAUGUUUCUGUCCAUUUUAUCUUGUACAUUUGUUGUCUUCUUCAAAAAUUCACUGCAAAACCGGAUGCAUUCUUCAGCUAAAUAUGACUCAGCGAUGAACCCUUCUGGUCUUGCAGUAUUUCUCACAAAGUCUUUUAGGACUUUCAUAUACCUGAAACGAAGGUGAGUAAAGUUUGAUUAGCUAAAGCAAAGUGAAAUGUAAAACAAUCAUAUAUAUAGUACCUCUCAAUUGGGUACAUCUAUCUAAAUUGAACUGGUCCACCAAGCCGAGCUUCCCUUCCUAGAUGCACAGUCAAAUGGACCAUGAUAUCUAAGAAACUCGGAGGGAAAAAUCUUUCAAACAAGCAUAGAGUUUCAACAAUCUUAACUUCCAUAACCAAUAGCUUCUCCCUAUCAAUCACUUUCUGACACAGCAUACUGAAGAAUGCGCACAAUCUCAAAAUUGCUAGACGAGGUCUUUUAGGUAACAACCCUUUAAGCGCAAUAGGAAGAAGUUGCUGCAUUAGGACAUGAUAGUCAUGUGAUUUCAGACCUGUCACUUUACAAUCAUCUAAUAAAACACCUCUUGAUAUGUUAAGAGCAAUAUCCGUCUGGGCCUUUGAAGUCAAAUCGUCUCCUGCAAAAGAUCUUCUUCUCUGACUUGGACAAAGACCACGGUGGUGGAGGAAGAUAUGUACGUUUACCCUGAAUUGUAGGGUGCAACUCCGGCCUAAUACCAAGCUCCUCCAGAUCUUUCCUAGCCGGAAGACCAUCCUUAGAUUUCCCACAGUGCAACAAUGUUGAAACUAAACUCGCAGCCACAUUUCUCUCGACGUGCAUUACAUCUAAAUUGUGCCUCACCGGAAGUUCCUAUUCAAAACAAAAAGAAAACAGGAAAUCAAAGUUAAUCACAACACAUUGAAAAUGCUAAAAAUCAUAAAAGCACAUGCAAUAAGCGUCAUCUACCUCCCAGUAUGGUCGCCUGAAAAAUAUUGACCUCUUCUUCCAUCUUGAUAACUCAUCCUCAUCGACAUGAACUUCUUCUUCUUCUUCUUCAUCUUCCUCUGACUCACUCGGUAAACCCUUAUUAUCAGUGCCUAAAUCAGUACUAAUAAUCUUUUUCCUCUUACUUGCAGAUCGUUUAAAAUUUACAAAGUUAUUUUUGAAGUUUUUCAGGUUUUGAGAAAUUUCACGCCCAUUUAGUAUUCUUCCCCUUCUCCCUUGUUCAACUUUUCCAUCAAAUCACUUCUUCUUUCCCCUAAAACUAUGAGCUGGUGGUAGACCCUUUCUAUGGCACAUAUAGACAUGUUUUCUGCUGAACUUUAGCCACAUACUAUCGGUUUUUUUACCACAUAACGGACACCCCAUUUUACCCUUUAGUUUGCAACUGGCAAGAUUCCCAUAAGCGGGAAAAUCGCUGAUCGUCCAAAGCAGCAUUUCCUUCAGAGUAAAAGUAUCUCGACUUACAACAUCAUAGGUUAACUCUCCUGUGCUCCACAGUUGAUUUAGAUCGUCAAUGAGUCUAAGUACACAUCUAUGCUAUUACCUGGCUGUUGUGGACCAGGAAUCAACAAUGAAAGCAUUAUGUUCUCCUUCUUCAUGCAUAAGUUAGGCGGUAAAUUGUAGUUCACUAACAACACAUGCCAGCAACUGUACAUCAAAUUCUUCAUAUUGAAUGGAAUAAAUCCGUAUAUUGAGAGACCAAGCGUGAGGUUCCUUUGUUCAGCUGCAAAGGUAGGGUAUUUAGCAUUCAUCUGAUCCCAUGUGACUGAAUCAACAGGGUGUCGAAGUUUUCCAUCAGUGCUUUUGUUGCUGAAGUGCCAACUUAAAUCCUUAACCAUUUCCUCAAACCGGAACAUUCUCUUCAACCUUGGGAUUAUUGGAAAGUAGCGUAAUACUCUCUGUGGGACUCCUUUCUUCUUCUCGCCAGUAUAGAUAUUAGUCUUCCAUCUCGACGCCUUGCAUUUUGGGCAGUACUCAAGCUUCUUCAACCACUUUCUGAAUAGGCAGCAGUCAUUCACACAAGCAUGGAUCUUCUCGUAACCCAUAUCAAAUGAUUUUAAAAAUUUCUUAACCUCGUACAGUGAAGUGUGGAGCACAUUAUCCUCUGGUAACAUCUCCGGUAAGGUCUCCAGCAGAUCAUUGAAGCUCUUGUCAGACCACCCAUUGAGUUUUCAAUCUUAAUAAUGAAACAAUUGCAGAUAGCUUGCUAUGAUUUACACAGCUCAGAUACAAAGGUGUUUCAGCUUCAGCUAUCUUUGCCAAGAAUUCAUCUUCUUUCUUGUCGUCUCCCUCUGCCAUCUCAGAUAACUCCCCUGUACCCGCUAACUCUUCAUCUAAACACUCAUAAGCUUGGUAUAACCCAAAAAUCUCAUCAUUCCACUGACUUGUGCUGCUUUCACAAUCAACCCCUGAGUUCAGUUCUCCAUGUAGAUACCAAUCAGACCGAUUCUUGUAUGCCUCCUCCAUUUGCCUAGUAACGAGAUGGUCAACUACAACAUCUCCUGAGCGAAGAUCUAUAUUGCGGCAGUCAAUGCAAGGAGAUACAAUCAUAUCAAACCCUCCCAAAGCUUCAGCCACAUCCCGUAUAAACUUUGUAGCUCCAUUCUCAUAAGAAGGAUCAACUCUUCAAUGAUAAUGAAAAGGAAAACAAAAAACAAGUUAAGUCUCUAAACACCUACUGAAAGAUAACAUACGUUGUAUGUUAAAGUCAUUACCUGCUAAGAUGAACCCAAGCCUUGUCAACCAUUAUACGUUCUAAACCUAAACUGAAACUUUAGUAUCGACAGAGAUGGCGCAUAUAUGACACAAAAAUUAUCAGAUAGCAAAAAGAUGGGGCUGAAAUGGCGGAUGGGAGAAGCGGAAUCGAGCUCACUUGAUUUUAGGGUUCUAAGAGAAAGAGGGUAAAAUUAGGUAAGAUAUAGAGAAAACGCGAUUAGUGAGAGGGAAAAUUAUUAGAUUAAAGAUUUUCUCUAAGUUAUUAUGCGGAAAAGCUAAUUUUGGGUUCCCGCUUACUGAAACUCUAUAAUAGCGUUUAUAUAACCCUAUUAUAUUAUACAAUUUUUUUUAAUUACCUAAGAUAGCAGUUUAGUAAAACGUGCUAUUAUAAUGUGCUAUCAAUGUGGACUUUUCUUGUAGUGAUACAUACAAGGAAUCCGCCAUGUCAUCAACUCGGAUUUGCCAUGUCAUCACUAACGAACGAAAUUUACAACUUGGUUUAUGAGACUGUUCAUGUUAUUUUUCUAUCAUUUUCAUCUUUCUCAGUUGGUUAUGGAUCCGAUAGUUAUUGUUUCCAGUAACUGGAUUAAGAAAAACAUAUAUGUAUUCAACGUCAACAGAAGAGAGUGUAGAGUUCUUCUUCAUUUAGAUGAGAAAACAACACAUGAAGAUUUCGCAAAGUCUGGUCUCGAUGAUUACGGAUUGAAUGAUUUGAGGGAUCAUAUUCAUCUUAGCUACAUGUUCUCGAAUAAAGCAUUGAAAAAAAUGGCGCACGACACUCCACCACUUUACGUGUCCAAUACUCGAGAAUUGCAAGGUUUUCUAAGCCUAAAGAAAAUAGAACAACUACGUCUAUGUGUGGAGAUUACAGACAACAAGUAUGACAGAGCAAGAGAGAAGAGUAACGAGAAUGACUGCUCACAAGUAGAAGCUUCAGAAGUUCAGUCCAGAGACGAAAACUACCGUGGGAGUUGCGAUGGUUGCAGUUUGGAGAAAGAAUAAGAGGACAAUGAGAAUGACUGCUCUAGUAAUGUGGAAGGAGAAAUACACGACUUAGUCAGAGAUGAUGAAAUAUGCAAAAAAACGAAGAAGAUGAUGAAUUUGAAAGCCAACUUGAUAUGUUCGACGACUCGGACAGUGCGUCAUCUGAAGAUGAUAAAUUCAGCUCAUACGGUGAGUCUCCUACAGAAGACGAAGAUUCAUUAACGCUACCUCCCAAGAAGAGAUGAGCGGACCUAAAGGGAAUCUGGAGGUUCUAAAGUUGGAGAUGUUGUCGAUAGACCUUGCGGUAGGGCAACGAUACGAGAGUAAAGACGAUUUGGAGAGAUGACUGAAACUUCUUACAGUGAGGUACCAAUUUGAUUUUGAUGUAGAAACAUCAACCCCGACAUCAUACGUUGUUAAGGGUAGGGUUGAGGGAUGUCUCUGGAGAGUUUGUGCUUCUACCCAAGGGGAAUCCCCGGUGUUUUAUGUUAGUAUUUACGAUUCGAAUCAUACAUGUUCUUGUACUGACCGUUCUAAUCGAUCUCGACAAGCAACACCGGAUAUUUUAGGAGAGUUGUACAAGAACUUUCUCGGCAACGUUGGUCCGGCCAUUCGCUCUACGAGUGUCGGAAUAGCCAUCACUAAGCAGUUUAGUGUAAAGAUAAUUACUUUGAUGCAGCUGAGUUAUGUUAACGAUAUGGCUGAGUAAUAUGAAACGUCGCGGCUGACAUAUUAAUACAAUGUGGCUGGGUUAUUAUAAUGUUAGAUGCGGCUGAGUUAUAAUAAAGCUAGGGUUGAGUUAUUUUUAUGUUGUAGCUGUCUUAAUUUUAUGAUGAAGCUGAGUUAUGUGUAUCGUUCUUUCAUGUGAACAGAUGGAUUAUUGGAAAUCACACCGGAUGAUGAAAUUUGCAAUGGAAAUCGAUGAGGGAACACCUGAGUGUGGGUUUGAAAGCUUGCCUUCUUACUUAUACAUGAUAAGAAGGGCAAAUCCGAGUACUGUUAUGUAUCUUCAAAUUGAUGAGCUUGGAAGAUUCAUGUAUGUAUUUCUUGCGAUUGGUGCGAGUGUAAAUGGGUUUCCUUUCAUGCGCAAAGUUAUUGUCGUCAACCGUAUGUUUCUUAAUGGUAAAUACAAAGGGACGCUACUCACAGCACUAGCUCAGGAUGGUAACUUUCAGAUUUUUCCAAUAGACUUCGUAGUGGUUGACACUUAAAAUGAUGAUUCGUGGCAUUGGUUUUUUAUGCAACUAAAAUUUUUAUUCUUGACGACGAGGAUCUUGCGAUAAUCUCGGAUAGGCAUAACUCGAUAGGAAACACAAUUAGAAAUGUGUAUCCGUUAGCUUCUUGGGGAAUAUGCACCUACCAUUUAUAUAAGAACAUAUUAGGACGGUACAAAGGAAAAGAUGUAUUUCGUCUGGUGAAGAAAGCGGCAAGAUAUUUUAUGAUGUCUGAUUUUACUGCGAUUUUUGAGGAGAUUGAAGCGGUUAAUCCUGCACUCCACGGCUACCUCCAAAGAGCUGAUGUCCGACUGUGGACGCGUGUUCAUUUCCCGGGCGAGAGGUACAAUUUGAUGACUACGAACAUAGCGGAUUCAAUGAACAGGGCCUUGUCGAAUGCUAAAGGUCUUAACAUUGUUCGAAUAUUAGAAUCAAUACGGGUUAUGAUGACCAGAUUGUUUGCUGAACUGAGAGAGGAUGCCAGAUCGUAGCCAACCACGCUUACGCGUGGUGUGGAGAAACUACUACAUGUAAGUCUGUCGUAACAGUAAACAUAAGUCAGCCAUUAUAGUUCUUAUGUCAGCCUUUAUAGUUAUUAAGUCAGCCUUUAUAUGUAAUAAGUCAGCCGUUUCACAUUUAUUCUAUUUUUCUUAAUAGGGUCGUGUAACUGCUGCAUGUGAUUUGACAGGAUUGAUGAUCAUCACACUGAAGUUAAAUAUGGAUCUUCUGGCGAGUAUUUGAAUGUUGUUAAUUUGGUACAGCGAAAGUGCACAUGUCGGCGUUUCGAACGCAAAAAAUUACCAUGUGUAAACGCAAUCGCAGCCGCGGAGUACAGGAAUUCUUGUUGUAUAUCCAUGUGCCGUCCUUACUAUAACAGCACUUAUUUGGUGAGCGCAUAUGCUGAAUCGGUCAUACCGGUUGACUCAGCGCAACCUGUUCCAGAAAUCUUGGCUAACCAACCAUGCUUGUCCCCGUCAAUUCGUCAACAACCAGGAAGACCUAAGAAAAAUAGGAUGAAAUAUGCUUUAGAAGUUGCACUUGCAAACAAAUGUCCUAGGAAAGAACACACAUGUUCUCGAUGUGGACAUAAUGCGAAAACUUAUCCGAUGUAAGCAAGUGUUGUAGGGAUUUUCAUAUUUUUGUAUUACGGCUGGGUUUUUGGUUUUCAAGUUCUUCUAUUACGGCUGAGUUUUGGAUUUUCAUGUUCUUCCAUUACGGCUGGGUUUUUUAUUUUCAAGUUUUUGUAUUAAGGCUGGGUUUUGCUUUCAUGUUUUUGUAUUACGACUGGGUUUUGCUUUCAUGUUUUUGUAUUACGACUGGGUUUUGGAUUUUCAUUUUUUUGAAUUACAGCUGAGUUUUUGGAUUGUCAUGUCUUGGUAUUAGUUUCAGACGUAUUUUUACACGCCAAAACAAUGGCGGCAUAAUUAGCCAGUUACAGCUGAGGAAAUGGCAAAAACAUCGAAAAACGAAAUGUCUGUACUUAAUAGUCCCUACAUAACUUAAUAGGCCCUACGUAAUUAUUGAUGUCUUGAAAUAUGAAACUUCGCGAAGUCAAUUUUGGCUGAGUUAUUAUAAUAAACGGCUGAUUUAUUGAAUGAAAUACAUUACGGCUGGGUUAUGGAAUAACUUCCCGCCUAAAAGAAGACACGCCGCGAUAUGAAAACCGUUUUUCUGCUGAUAAAUAAGAAACAAUUACAUGUUCAACUCUCUAUUGUUUUACACAAUUGCUCUCUCUCUCUCUAUAAAUAAAUUUCACCCCUCUGAGAGUAAAUGGAAUAUUGCCGGAUCUUGAAAUGCCUAAAGAAAUUCAGGCGUUGGUGGUUGAACGUGCGGCCAGUAACUCUUUCCAAGAUCUCUAUGGCCUCAGAGUAUCGUGCAAGUUGAUGAAGGCGUUAGUAGAUCGGCAUAGUGUAUGCCAUUUUUACGAUGUAUUAUUCGUUCCAUGGGGACUCAAUAUGCCUGCUGAGUUGUUGAAAACUUGCUAGGCUGAGAGAAAUCCAAGCACACUUUAUAUAAAAGGUGUACCGUUUUUCUUCUCAUUCAGCCUUAAAGAAGAAGGGCUUUCUCUAAUGAAAUGUGCAACAGAUGCAGGACAUGAGCGUGCUGUGUAUACACACGCAAUUACUCGAGCAAUCUUUUGGUGUCAUGGACAGUAUUUUGCUGGUAUUCCAAGAGAAACAAAUGAUAGGAUCGGGAAACUAGUGCGAUCUGUGAAAUGGGGAUGGGGUUUGUGGCAUUCUGAUGAGUUCCGUCAAAAUAGGGCCAUGUUCACUUCAGCUUAUCUUCCGUCGUUCUACAGUUGCCAAUGUGCAAAUCUUGUGGAGCGACAAUUUCUCUGCUUGUGGCACAUUGAUGUGACUGAGGAUAACAACAUGUGUGACCGUUGUUUCUAGAUCAAAGAGAUAGGCAUGUUCUUACCUGAUUUGAACCGAUAAGCCUGUUUAGGGACACAAGGAAGUGGUGAAGAUGUAUUGUUCUCAAGUUCUUUGUUAUGCCAUUAUGUAUGUCGAACAACAAAUUAAUUUUAUGAAGGCUGAGUUAUUGUUUAUUUUGGCUGUUUUAUAGUUUAAUGAUGGCUGAGUUAGAUCUGACUUAAUAAAGGUUACGGUCUGAGUUACAUAAAACAUAGGCUGACUUAUAAUUACAUAAAACAUAGGCAUAGUAUAAUUGUCGCUGAGUUAUUGUUUAAUGACGGCUGAGUUAGAUCUGACUUAAUAAAGGUUACGGUCUGAGUUACAUAAAACAUAGGCUGACUUAUCAUUAGUAUGACGCCUGAGUAAUUUAAUACGUUAAGUCUGAGUUAAAUAAAACCUAGGCUGACUUAUAAUUACAAAACACGACUACACACAAUAGUAGUAGUAUCAAAGUAACGCCAUUCCAACCCCACAAACAACCACAUUCCUCAAACACCGACCCUGACUCAUACAUUCUCCUUCUUUUCUUCCAAAUUUCGUCUUCAAUCCUUCAAUCUCUUUCUCCAACUGAGUAACGUUAAGUCUAAAUUUAGAGAUGUCUUUGUUCAUGCCACUUAUCAGUGACUUAAUAUCCUAAACCUCUUCCACCAAACACUCAUCCGCCCAUUUGAAUAAAUGUCUCAGUUUUCACCAAUAUAACCAAAUCUAAGUAUUACGUUACAGAACAUGCGAAAUAAGAACUAAAACGAACCUUAUUAUAUCCUUUAGCGCAGCAAUAGUAUAUUCUUCCUGGAUUUGUAGCGCUUCCAGAUGUAAAAAUGUAGAGGGUUCACCACACCAACAUUGUAUCGGCGUUCCUCUUUCCGCGUUCAAACGUCGUCUGUAAGAAUUUCCUGAAACACAGGAUGAGAAAAACAUUUUUAUUGUCAAAACAAUUUCAAAAAAGCAUUAGUGCGACUUUAAGGUGAGUAAGAAGACGACAUCGUGAAACGGGAACGUUUACUUUUUUCCUUUUUAAGUAUUAAAUAUAUAAAAAUUUAGUUUCUCGAUAUUGUAAGUUACUCGACACAUGCGUGCCAGCCGUUUAUUUCAAAUUCAUCAUAAUUAGUCUCGAUAUUCUCAUAUUGUUGGCGGAGUUAUUCCUCACGCGCCAUAAUUAAUCGACUACUCAGUCAAAUCAAACAAAUGGAAACCUCCCAUUAAUAAUGAAAUGGGCAAGCGAUAAUCUACGUUGUGGUAUAAAACUUCACAGAAACAUUUACGACUGAGUUAGAUUAGUACGUUUUGGCUGAGUUAACUUAACGUUGUGGCUGAGUUAUAUUAAUAUUCACAGCUGAGUUACCUGAUACGCUUUGACUGAGUUAACUUAAAGUUGUGGCUGAGUUAUGUUAACAGAUACAGCUGGAUUAUAGUACAUAAGUAAAUACGAAUUCGACGUGUCGAAUUACAUUCAGAAACAGAAAAUAUCAGGGUCAAAAUACAGACAACGCAUCACUGUCAGAAACCAAAAUUGUCAGGACUUAACUCUUCAAACAUGUGGACGAGAUCACGCCAAACUCUAGUUAGCAUCCACGGAGGCUUGUCGCCUCCGUUUCCCCCAAGUGCUCUUCAAAUGGCGCAUCUGGCAACGAAAUAGCGUUCUGGCCACAAGAUUAAAAUGUGUCCAAGCUGUCGAAUUAUGUCUUCGAUCCGACGUGUUUUUGCGCUACAACAAAAAAUAUUACAAAACUGUUGUUGAGAACACACAUAAUGUAGACAGAGUGGACAAACUGUUGAUAUAUCUAAUGUGGACAUAUAUCCCGUCCUUACAGCGAGUUGAAGAAACCAGCGUUCCUUAAAAUGAUUGGGAAUGGCGCGGUAUGUCCGCCAAUCAAGAACCCAUCCUUCUGAAAGAAUCGAUGGGAUGACGAGGGAGAUAUCACUUAAAAUUUGAACCAGGUAGUGCUGGUUGUGUCAAGCAAGUCACUCGGACCAGGGUAUAGAAGAGGGAGGUUUUCACGAUAUGCAGAGCUUAGUAUCGCAUUGACACUGUUCUCUAACCUAUUGAAUUACCAGGAACAAUCGGUAUAACUUUUGAUGGGGAUAGAGAGAUUUAUUUAGGUUAUUUCCAGAGAGAGAAAGGAGUAAGAAAAGGUGUAAGAGAGGGGACAAUAUAUAGAGAUGAAUAUAGAACGUCAAACGUCACGAGUUAAAAUUUUCCAAGAUUCAGUUAUCUUUUUCCCGCCAAACGUCAAGAUUAAGUUAUACUUUACGGCCGAGUUACUUUAACAUUUACGGCUGACUUAGUAAUUGGGGUUUAGGGUUUAGGUUUGAUUUUUUGGAGAUUUAGGUUUAGGAUUUGGAUUUAUGGUGCAAGAAAUAUAAUAAAUAACACAAAAUCAUGAUAAAUAACACAAUAAUAGUUUACGAGUUUUAAAUAUUGCUCACACCUUAUAUCUAAAUGUAAGGUUUUAAGUAAUCGUAUGACAACGUAUACCUCAAGAACAUGAUCGAUUCUAAACUCGUAAAUUCAAUAAAGAAGACACAUUCAGUUGAUUAUAUAUUCACUCCAAAUUGAUAAUUGGAGUUUCAAUAACAUUUUAAAGUAUAAACAUUUCAUCUUUUUGAUUCUAGUGUAUGUUUGAGGUAUGACUCAGUUAUAAUAGCAUAACGGCUGACUUAUACUAAUCGAUACGACUGAGUUAUAUAAACAUUUUUUUGAUUUUAGGGUAUGGUGGAUGUAUGGCUGAGUUAUUUAAAUAGAUACGUCUGAGUUACAUAUAAGCUUUCGGCAGAGUUAUAUGAACAUUUUCGAUUUUAGAGUUUGUUUGGAGUAUGGCUGAGUUAUAAAAACGAUAAGACUGAGAUAUAUUAGCUAAUGUCAAAUACUUAAUAACUUAAGUCAAGUACAAAAUAACAAACACAUGUUCAAUUGGACAGCAAAUUGUUCAUCACAUUUUUCCUCCUUCAUCGAGGAUCUCUGCUGCCAUCUUCACCCUCAGACCUUGAAUAUUGUUAUCGUUUAUCCCAUCAAAAGUUACACCAAGCGCUAGACACUCCACAAACUUCAACGAAUACACCCCACAAUCGCCAAUCUGGGUGUUUUGUGGAGUGUAUCUUUUGCUCCUCCUUCUGAAUGCGAACUUCUUCUUACUAGGGGCUCGGAGAUUGGCAGGUAUAAUUUCACUCAACAUCACGGGAAGCAUAAGCGUUAGCGGUUUAAAUGAAUCUAGUAUUCUCUGCUCACUUUCGACUGUUACAUGUCCAAAGAUUGGAUCGUAGCAAUCAAUCUUCUCCUUCUUCAGAUCCACAUGAAACACCACCCAGUGAUUUCCGCCGGUUUGAAGACAUCCGUACAAGAGAUCCACAUCUUCAUACCACUUAUAGUUUGUUGGACAUUCAAGGGGAAGCUUACCAUUUAUUAGAUCUUCAUAACCAUUGCCUUUGAACGUGAUCAUACUAGGUUUUAUCUUGAACUGCUUGAAAUCGUGAAUCCAAAAACUUAACACCCAAACGUCAAUGAAGGCAAUCCGCUUGGACCAGAAUGGGGUGGGAUUUCGCAUGGACCUUUUAAUGAGCACGUUUAUAUACGCAGCGACAUGCUACACAAAGAAUAUUAACAAGUCAGCCGUAAUCAAAUAUAUAAGUCAGCCAUAAUCAAAUAUAUAACUCAGCUGUAAUAGAAUAUAUAACUCAGCCGUACUAAAGACUUACAUUAUCAAACACCCAUCCAUAUUCCUUUUCCGACCACGGUCUUUCAUGGAUGAGUAUGCUGUACAAGUCACUCUCAUGAACAGCUGAGAGGACUGCUGGUUUAUCUGCUGAUGCUGGUGGUUUGGGUGGAAUUCCCUUAAUGUGUUGCAUCAGUUUUUCGAAUAGCACCGGAUCAACAGGUGCUAGAGGGUCAUAUAUUGCUAAUGAAGGCUUAACAUUAUUCCUCAUGCACGUCGUUCCAUUGUCUCCAAUGGAUGGAAAAACUGGUGGUGAAGAAACUGUCGUCAAUGAAAACCCUUUUGGAGAUAAUUGAACACGUUUCUCCCGAUAUUCCUUUACUACGGCUGAUCUAACCACUUCAUGAUUCUCGACAUCGGACUUCGGCGCAAAUUCAUUCUCUUCCGCAAGAACUUAGUCGUUCGUCACAGCACAUUCACUGUCCUCUCCCGCAUGUUUUUGCUUCUUUAACUCAGCAAGUUUUUGCUUCUUUAGCUCAGCCAGUUUUUGCUUCUUUAACUCAGCCUCUUUUCUCUUAGACUCGGCUUCUUGAUUAUUUAACUCAGCCAGUUUUUGCUUCUUUAACUCAGCCUCUUUUCUCUUCAACGAUAAAUAUUCUUCUUCGCCGCUGUUUUCUUAUGGCAACGAUAAAAAUUCUUCUUCGCCGCUGUUUGAGAGGUUAUCAUAGUUUUCGGGAAUUUUCCCUAGAACUUUCAGACGCUCCUCCACUGAAGCUUUCACCAUGUCAUCAAUGGUCUUCUGGUCCAUCAAUGGUCUGUUCCGUUCUAACUCGUAAGCAUCAAACCGUGAGUCAAUCUGAUCAAAUUUUUUGGAAAUAUUCUCCAGAGUACUCACAAUGGUCGUCAGAGUCACUUUCUUCUCCAAAUCUUUGCUACUUUUCUCCUCGCUAGAACCCUUUCCCGUUGCAACAGCUUUACCUUCAAUGUUGUUCACUUCGUUAUGUGUCUUAACUUUCUUCUGCUUCUUAGUGGGUGGCUCAGCUUCUGACGAAACUCUACCCUUCAUUUUCUUCUUCUUCUCAUUCCCCUUCCCCUGCGCAUUCCCCUGCACUUCUCAAAAACCUUUCAAAAAUCUACCUGCAUGUAUGUCUAUUAUCAAGCUAACGAGUUGUGGGUCGUCAGAUUCACCCGGCCAUUUAGGAAACAUCUCUUCAAUUGAGUCCUUCAGAACCAUUCUCCUCACACGCACCUGCAACACCAGGUUAUAAUUAAACUCAGCCACCAAAAUAACACAUAACUCAGCCAUCAAAUAUAAUAAAUCAGCCAUCAAAAAACUAAAAACUCAGCGUUAAACCUUACCUCGCCAUGCUCUUUGAUUUUGGCAGCCAACAAGUUAUUAAAACUUGCAUGUGUACGCUUUCCAUCCCAUCGCAAAAGCGGAACGUCUUCAUUAUUCACCACUCUCCCAAAAUUCUCACCGAAGCAAGCAACGGAUUCAUACGCCGAAAUCAAUAACGCGACGGUCAUGCCGCUUAUUGUGUAUGACCCUCCUUCUGGAUCCAACGUUUUAAUAGAGUCAAUGAGAACUUUGUAUGCAGUUCGAUCCCAUGGAUACGACCACAUGGCUUCAUCGUCGAAUACCCUUAUUGCACUUUCAAAAGGUAUCCUUGAAUUGUAAUGCAAACAAUAGACUUCCAUGGCUAGAAGAAAUAGCAGCCCCAACCACUUACGCUUUUCAAAACUCCAAAGCGGAUAAACGCUAAUGUUGCCUUCAGUUCAUCUAACUUGGGUCCCAUCCCAAGUGGCACCUUCAACUCCUCCCAAAACUCUUUGUAUUAAUCAGGUUCAAAACUUUAUGUUGGCAAUAGACCUGUGUUUAACCCAGUGAUCUCACCAAACUCGAGCAAGCUAAACCUGAUAGCCUCAUCAACCACGAGACACCAUAUCUCCUUCUUAUGUACUCGAACCUGUCUACAUAGUAGAUAGUGUACAGUACUACCAGACCAUAUGCUUUCGCGUACAGCUAGCCUAGCAACUACUCCAAUGGGAGAGUUCACCAGUUCUUCCCACACAUCAAGUCCUAUUGUUUCUCUAAUGUGGGGGAAAUUUCCUAGACGGAAAUUGUGAUUAAUAUCUUUAUUUUGUAGGUUAGUAAAUCCUUCAGAGUAAAGUCUUGGAGGGUAAUCCUGUGAUUUAACUUCAGCAACAUCUAUCUGAUCAUAUAACCCAACAAUAAAUCAGCCACGAGAUAACAAUAACACAGCCAUAACAUAACAAUAACUCAACAAAAUAAAAAUAACUCAGCCACAACAUAACAAUAACUCAGCCAUAACAUAACAAUUCCUCAGUCACGACAUAGCGAUAACCCAGCCAUAACAUAAAAAUUACUCAGUCAUAACAUAACCCUAACUCAGUCGCAACAAAACCCUAACUCAGACGCAACAAAACCCUCAACCAUAUCACAGCCACAACAUAACCCUAUCUCAGUCGCAACAAAAUAUAUAACUCAGAUGAAAUAUAAUAUAUAACUGACCCACAAACUCAACCAAAACACAA